UACGUAGGGCGCAAGCGUUGUCCGGAAUUAUUGGGCGUAAAGAGCUCGUAGGCGGUUUGUCGCGUCUGCUGUGAAAACCCGAGGCUCAACCUCGGGCCUGCAGUGGGUACGGGCAGACUAGAGUGUGGUAGGGGAGACUGGAAUUCCUGGUGUAGCGGUGGAAUGCGCAGAUAUCAGGAGGAACACCAAUGGCGAAGGCAGGUCUCUGGGCCACAACUGACGCUGGAGGAGCGAAAGCGUGGGGAGCGAACAGG
rnacentral:rRNA from 1 species